UACGUAGGUGGCAAGCGUUGUCCGGAUUUACUGGGCGUAAAGGGCGUGCAGGCGGUUUGUUAAGUGCAGGGUGAAAGCUCCCGGCUCAACUGGGAGAGGUCCUUGCAUACUGGCAAACUCGAGGGAGGCAGAGGAAAGUGGAAUUCCCGGUGUAGUGGUGAUAUGCGUAGAUAUCGGGAGGAACACCUGUGGCGAAGGCGGCUUUCUGGGCCUUACCUGACGCUGAGA
rnacentral:rRNA from 1 species